GGGGAUAUAGCUCAUUUGGUAGAGUGCUUGCCUUGCAUGCACAAAGCCCUGGGUUCAAUCCCCAGCACCACUA
rnacentral:tRNA from 1 species